rnacentral:rRNA from 1 species
CCUACGGGAGGCAGCAGUGGGGAAUUUUGGACAAUGGGCGCAAGCCUGAUCCAGCAAUGCCGCGUGAGUGAAGAAGGCCUUCGGGUUGUAAAGCUCUUUUGUCAGGGAAGAAACGGUGGGGGCUAAUAUCUCCUACUAAUGACGGUACCUGAAGAAUAAGCACCGGCUAACUACGUGCCAGCAGCCGCGGUAAUACGUAGGGUGCAAGCGUUAAUCGGAAUUACUGGGCGUAAAGCGUGCGCAGGCGGUUUUGUAAGUCUGUCGUGAAAGCCCCGGGCUCAACCUGGGAAUUGCGAUGGAGACUGCAAGGCUUGAAUCUGGCAGAGGGGGGUAGAAUUCCACGUGUAGCAGUGAAAUGCGUAGAGAUGUGGAGGAACACCGAUGGCGAAGGCAGCCCCCUGGGUCAAGAUUGACGCUCAUGCACGAAAGCGUGGGGAGCAAACAGGAUUAGAUACCCUGGUAGUCCACGCCCUAAACGAUGUCUACUAGUUGUCGGGUUUUAAUUAACUUGGUAACGCAGCUAACGCGUGAAGUGACCGCCUGGGGNGUACGUCGCAGAUAACUACGAAGAAGUAGAGCGUGAGAGNGCGACGGACGACGACGAGGGAGGAGG